GGGAGGACAUGGGAAUAAGAAAUGAUGCUAGCGUGAUUUAAUAUAAUCUAGUACCGUUAGGGUGACAUCAUAAGGCUAAGAGAAGAUAAGAAUCAUAUUCACUAUCAGAAUUAGUACCUAAUAAAUACUGCAUCGAGAUUUUAAGUUCAUUAAGAUAUGUUGGGGUUGGAGAUAUCCAGGAAGAAGUGACUAGUGAAUUAAGUGUGAUAACAUUAUCCUAGCUUGUUACCAAAGCAUUUAUGGUGCUUGGACGGUGAUAAUUGUCCACUUACUGAAACUCAAUGGCUAAAAGUAAGAGGAUACUACUAGUUUAUGGGCCAAUUAAUAUUACCUGGAAGGCUAUUUAGGAAAUUGUGUUCUCUACUUGUAACAAAUUAGAUAUGAACAAAGUUCCACAGUGAUUCUACAUCCUCCUUGGGCCUCCUUGGGAAGCAUAGGGGCGAGCAGCCCCGAGCAGAACCUCCCCACGAUUGAUUUUCCUCCCAUCCGCUUCCCUCCCCACGCAGGGGGAGAAAAACCUCCCUCCAGCUUCGGCUGUUUGGGAGUCCCGGUCCCAUCCCCACGUUGUGCUCUGCUCCCGGAAAAAAUCUCAGACCAACA
rnacentral:lncRNA from 1 species